rnacentral:misc_RNA from 1 species
AUGUGCCCACUGAUUCCUUUUUUACCCAAAUGUCCAUUAAAUUGCCAUGUUAACUGUCGCUUCAAAAGAGUAGCAUUUCUCUGGAAUUUGCUCCAUCGUAGCUCGAGGGCUUUAUGGCAUGCACCUAAUUUCUCACGAAAUGCUUUGUAGGUUUGCUGCUUUCUUAAAAUUUUGCGUUCUUUUUUGUUGUACAACAUGCGGAGGUCCUCAAUGGACUCUGGAUGUCUCCGACUCUCUUGCUGAAGUCUUUGACUUAGCCUAGCUAAAUGGGCACUUAAUUGCUCCGGAGUGCUUCCAUCACAGCCACCUAAAGCCUCAAUUUCACUUUCAGGACAGAUGAUUGAAGCUUUUUUGUAGCUCUCCCUACGGUUGUGCUCAAGUUCCUGAUACUCUGCUUCCGCUCCAGUGAGUUGGGAAAGAACUUUUGUACUCAUUACACCUUCAUAGUGAUUCUUCUUCAGUUCUGCAUCUUUUAAAUCUUUAUCAAUCAUCAUUAGCUCACGUUCUGCUUCCUCCAAUGCACCAAUUUCCACUUUUGCUGAUUCACACAAAUUUUCAAAGGAAAUUUUGACCUCAUUA